rnacentral:rRNA from 1 species
GCUAGAAGAUGACGAGCGGCGGACGGGUGAGUAAUACUUAGGAAUCUACCUAGUAGUGGGGGAUAGCUCGGGGAAACUCGAAUUAAUACCGCAUACGACCUACGGGAGAAAGGGGGCAACUUGUUGCUCUCGCUAUUAGAUGAGCCUAAGUCGGAUUAGCUAGAUGGUGGGGUAAAGGCCUACCAUGGCGACGAUCUGUAGCUGGUCUGAGAGGAUGAUCAGCCACACCGGGACUGAGACACGGCCCGGACUCCUACGGGAGGCAGCAGUGGGGAAUAUUGGACAAUGGGGGAAACCCUGAUCCAGCCAUGCCGCGUGUGUGAAGAAGGCCUUUUGGUUGUAAAGCACUUUAAGCAGUGAAGAAGACUCUUCGGUUAAUACCCGGAGACGAUGACAUUAGCUGCAGAAUAAGCACCGGCUAACUCUGUGCCAGCAGCCGCGGUAAUACAGAGGGUGCAAGCGUUAAUCGGAAUUACUGGGCGUAAAGCGAGCGUAGGUGGCUUGAUAAGUCAGAUGUGAAAUCCCCGGGCUUAACCUGGGAACUGCAUCUGAUACUGUCAGGCUAGAGUAGGUGAGAGGAAGGUAGAAUUCCAGGUGUAGCGGUGAAAUGCGUAGAGAUCUGGAGGAAUACCGAUGGCGAAGGCAGCCUUCUGGCAUCAUACUGACACUGAGGCUCGAAAGC